CCCCGGACGCCAACGUCUCGGACGGCAGGAGAGCCAAGAGGAACGGCCCGACCUCUGCGGACCUGGAGGUGCUCUACUGGAAGCAGAUGAAGGAGCGGGUGGCAGCGCAGAGGAAGCUGCAGCCCAGGGAGCCACUGCAGGCCGAGGAGGAGCCGGAG